UUGUUAGCCGGGGUUGAAUCUGAGAGGCUCUCCUGCAUCUGAUUUGAGUGCUAAGGCUAAGUGCUCUCUCAAGAAAAAAAACAGGAUUAGUUCCAUUUGACUGCUCAAGAAAUUAUCGGAGGACCCAGAAUGUCGUACGGAUCCAUUGACGCAGGCUCUUUUGGAAGCAGAAAUCCAUUUGGUGGGCCCACAAGGCAGGGAUACCAGCCAGUAGCUACACAAGUCAGCCCCUCAGAGCUUCAAGAUGUGUUCCAGGAAACCUCCUCUAACAUCUUUCAAAUCAAUGCUAACGUGGUAACAUUAGAGAAGAAUCUUCAAUCAUUGGGAACAUCCAGAGAUACAGCAGAGCUACGGCAGAGUUUACAUUCCACACAGCAGCAAACCAAUAAAGUCAUAACGAGCACAAGCCAGCUUGUUAAACAACUCACUGACAUCAUCAGCGGAUCUUCACGGCAAGACAGGCUUCGUCUGACGAGACUCAAAACAGAGCUAUCGGAUUCUGUACAGCGAUAUGGAGACCUGCAGAAGAAAAUUGCAGAUCGUUCGAGGGCCUUGCUUCCUUCUGCACAAAAGGACAGGAAACAGAGCCUACAGACUCCAUUCAGUGAACUGGUUGAAGAUGGGCCGUUGUUCGGAGCGGAGGAGGGCGUUGAGGGUGAUUCCCAAGCAUUCCUGUCAGAGAUCAGUGAGGAAGACGUGGAGAUCCUGAGGCAAAGAGAAGAAGCACUGCUGCAGAUCGAGAGAGACAUGCUGGACGUUAAUCAGAUUAUGAAGGACUUGGCCAGCAUGGUGCAUGAACAAGGAGACACCAUAGACAGCAUUGAAGACUACAUUCAGACCACUUCAUCACACGUGGACUCAGCCAAUCAGGAGCUUGCAAAAGCCAGUCAUUAUCAGAGGCAGCUAAGGAGGAGGAAGUGUUAUCUGCUAAUCGCUGGAGUCUUGCUUCUUACUUUGCUUAUCAUCAUUAUUGCAGUUUCAGCCAGAAAAUGAGAGCAAGACCACUGCAUGUCUGCUAGGAUAUCAACACUGGAAGAUGGCUCCAUUUCCAGACCUUCCUCGACCCUCUUCUCUGCUCAGUCGAUAUCCACCCCGGCUUCAACCGCCGAUGUUGUCUCCAACCCGCAUUACCAUCUGUGCCAGCCUCGAAGUGAUGAUGUCACCACAGAAUUUAUACCUGAAAUAUUGGCAGAGGGAGGACAUUGAGAAGAGACAGCCUGACACAGCCUGGUACAGAUGGAUCGAUGGAUGAGUGGAUGGAAAGAAGGUGAAUGGCAGCAUAUCACACAAAAAUAAAAAUUCUGUCAUUUAAACACCGCAUAUAAUUCUAAAGUUUUAUAUAAUGAAAGUGAAUGAGGACGGCAGUUGUCAAGCUUCAAAAUGACAAAAAACAAGUUUUCUAAAGUCUUGCUUUGUGAUGCAAACAGACUUAGAUGGAAGUCUUUGACAUUUUAGUGCUUCUUGGCCUGUUAUGAGAGCUCAUAAGAGAUACUGUGAGUUAUGAAUAAAUCAUUCUUUAGAAUCAAAUCUUUUCAAUGAAUCAAUUGAUUCAGUUAACAAAAUUGGUCCUGUCCCAAUACC